AUUGCCUGCCCAACCCAGAUCAAAUAUAAAACUCGACAACCUCAGUUCUCAAAAGGCCUUGGUUUUCAAUAAUGCUCUCGUGACUUUCUCUCAUUCUUUUCUUUUCUCAUUUCUAACCAAAUCCACUCGCAUAAGACUUCACCCCAGAUCUCUCUCACACACAACACCUCACUGAGUGUCUCAUUAAUUGCUACUACAAAGUUUUCACUGAAGUGACGUGGUUGCUUUUUGUGUGGGCUCAUUCUCCUUACACCGACAUUUUUUUACAACUCGACCUAUCAAAUUGGAGAUCCAUAUGUUGUUUCACAACAUAUUAAAUUUUAAUCAGAUCCAACCAUGAACAAAGUCGCACAAGCAAUUAUACGAUGAGUGCUCAAAGCUAAAAUAUUGAAGUUAUGCCCACUUGUGCAAAGACUGGCACACAUGGGUCAAGGUAAAGUGAAAAAAAAAACGUAAAAAUCCUUUUUAAACCUAGGUUUUUGAGACUUUUAUGUACUUUUGACAUCUCAAAUUGCUAGAGGCAUAUUAGAGACGACUUCUAAGACAUUACAAUGGCGUCUCAACAAGGCUCAACAACUUGACAUGCCAAUGAUGACGCGCCAGCUGGGGGCUCCUAAAGCAUGACGACGUUGCAACCAACCCAAAGGAUUUGCUCUUAAGCAGACACUGUAAGGGCGACCUACAUGACAUGGUUCAUAAAUAUUAGACCACCUCGGUCCAACUAGUAAAGUGUUAAAGAAGCCUCACAAAGGGCCAAGAUGAAACCUAUAAAGCAUGAAGGGACCAAGGCAAAUAUGCGCUCGGAAGCUCCACUUAAGGAUUUCCUUUACACCCGCAGAGACUUUGAAGACAUAUACCGACUUAUAAAUACAGAUACUCCCCCUACAUUCAAGGCCAACGCCACCACACUUUCAAGCCAACCAAUGCUAACACUGUCGAGGAGCAUUAGGAGGGCUGCCAAUCUAGAUUCUAAGAAGAACACAUAUGUACCGGCUUAGGGCUCCCCCUCUCAUAUAAAAUGAAAUCAUAUCUUAACAUUGUUUUGAAGGGUUUAGAUAUGACAUGAAAAAUUGGUCUACUUGGAAUAACCGAUCUAGAGGGUCAACUUCACCAAAGACACUUAGUUGCAGUUUAAGUAUUUUGAGAAUGUGUUGCGUGAGGGCAUGAAAAUCAGGAGGGGUUGAGAGAAGGGCGAUAAAGGUAAAAAUAGGUUAAGUGGAGCAUGAGGGGUAUAGGAGGUGGUUGGAUGUUAAGGUGGGCCACUUUAUCUGUGAGACCCGAUAAAACGAAAGCAAUAGAGUCAUGGCAAGAGGCACAUCUUAACAAGCCUUGCUCCUUGGGGGUUUUUUAAUUUCCCGAUAAAACGAAAGCAAUAGAGUCAUGGCAAGAGGCACAUCUUAACAAGCCUUGCUCCUUGGGGGUUUUUUAAUUUGUCUUCUUGUAUGUAACUUUUUCCUUUUCUUCUUGUAUUUCUACUCUUGAUUUUGGGUUGAAGUACCCCUUAUACUUAUUUU